rnacentral:rRNA from 1 species
GGGUUGUGAGGUUAAGCGACUAAGCGUACACGGUGGAUGCCCUGGCAGUCAGAGGCGAUGAAGGACGUGCUAAUCUGCGAUAAGCGCCGGUAAGGUGAUAUGAACCGUUAUAACCGGCGAUUUCCGAAUGGGGAAACCCAGUGUGAUUCGUCACACUAUCAUUAACUGAAUCCAUAGGUUAAUGAGGCGAACCGGGGGAACUGAAACAUCUAAGUACCCCGAGGAAAAGAAAUCAACCGAGAUUCCCCCAGUAGCGGCGAGCGAACGGGGAGGAGCCCAGAGCCUGAAUCAGCAUGUGUGUUAGUGGAAGCGUCUGGAAAGGCGCGCGAUACAGGGUGACAGCCCCGUACACAAAAGCGCAUGUGCUGUGAGCUCGAUGAGUAGGGCGGGACACGUGGUAUCCUGUCUGAAUAUGGGGGGACCAUCCUCCAAGGCUAAAUACUCCUGACUGACCGAUAGUGAACCAGUACCGUGAGGGAAAGGCGAAAAGAACCCCGGCGAGGGGAGUGAAAAAGAACCUGAAACCGUGUACGUACAAGCAGUGGGAGCACCCUUUGGGGUGUGACUGCGUACCUUUUGUAUAAUGGGUCAGCGACUUAUAUUCUGUAGCAAGGUUAACCGUAUAGGGGAGCCGGAGGGAAACCGAGUCUUAACCGGGCGUUAAGUUGCAGGGUAUAGACCCGAAACCCGGUGAUCUAGCCAUGGGCAGGUUGAAGGUUGGGUAACACUAACUGGAGGACCGAACCGACUAAUGUUGAAAAAUUAGCGGAUGACCUGUGGCUGGGGGUGAAAGGCCAAUCAAACCGGGAGAUAGCUGGUUCUCCCCGAAAGCUAUUUAGGUAGCGCCUCGUGAAUUCAUCUCCGGGGGUAGAGCACUGUUUCGGCUAGGGGGCCAUCCCGGCUUACCAACCCGAUGCAAACUGCGAAUACCGGAGAAUGUUAUCACGGGAGACACACGGCGGGUGCUAACGUCCGUCGUGAAGAGGGAAACAACCCAGACCGCCAGCUAAGGUCCCAAAGUCAUGGUUAAGUGGGAAACGAUGUGGGAAGGCCCAGACAGCCAGGAUGUUGGCUUAGAAGCAGCCAUCAUUUAAAGAAAGCGUAAUAGCUCACUGGUCGAGUCGGCCUGCGCGGAAGAUGUAACGGGGCUAAACCAUGCACCGAAGCUGCGGCAGCGACACUAUGUGUUGUUGGGUAGGGGAGCGUUCUGUAAGCCUGUGAAGGUGUGUCGUGAGGC